CGUCUAUAUACGUAUAGCAUAUCAAUAAGCGGAGGAAAAGAAACUAACGAGGAUUCCCCUCAGUAACGGCGAGUGAAGCGGGAAGAGCUCAAAUUUGAAAUCUUCAAGGUUCUACCUUGACGAAUUGUAGUUUAAAGAAGUGUUUUCUGUUGGUGUUUUGGUAAAAGUUCUUUGGAAUAGGACAUCAUAGAGGGUGAGAAUCCCGUAUUUGACCAUUACUUCCAGCGUUGUGAUACACUUUCAAAGAGUCGGAUUGUUUGGGAAUGCAGUCCAAAAUGGGUGGUAAAUUUCAUCUAAAGCUAAAUAUUGGCGAGAGACCGAUAGCGAACAAGUACCGUGAGGGAAAGAUGAAAAGAACUUUGAAAAGAGAGUUAAACAGUACGUGAAAUUGUCAAAAGGGAAGCGUUUGACACCAGUGUUGUUUUUCCGAAAAUCAAUUACGAAUGUUUUGUUUUUGAGGAGUUAUGACUUCAUCGGCUUGCUCCUUUCUUUACGAAACUUUCUUAAUGCACUUUUCGGUUAACAAGUCAACAUCAAUUUCUUUUGUUGUAAAAGAGUAUUCGGAAGGUGGCUUUCUUUUCGGAGAAAGUGUUUAUAGCCCUAUACUUCUACAAUCGGAGAGAUUGAGGUCUGCAGCGUAGAUCCUUCGGGGUUAGAUACAUUUGUGCUAAGUUGUAGCUUUUCAUAGACAACUUGUUGACUAUGUUUAGUCAUGCGGCUUACUCGCUUAUGCUAUUUUACCUACGCUUAGGAUGUUGACUGAUAUGUAGUCGUA
rnacentral:rRNA from 1 species